rnacentral:rRNA from 1 species
UACGAAGGGGGCUAGCGUUGUUCGGAAUUACUGGGCGUAAAGCGCACGUAGGCGGCUUGUUAAGUCAGGGGUGAAAUCCUGGAGCUCAACUCCAGAACUGCCUUUGAUACUGGCGAGCUUGAGUUCGGGAGAGGUGAGUGGAACUGCGAGUGUAGAGGUGAAAUUCGUAGAUAUUCGCAAGAACACCAGUGGCGAAGGCGGCUCACUGGCCCGAUACUGACGCUGGAGGUGACGAAAGCGGUGGGGAGCAAACAGGG